UGUGGUCAAGUUUCUAAGAGCAAACGGUGGAUGCCUUGGCAUCUGGAGCCGAAGAAGGACGUAGAAAUCUGCGAUAAGCCUCGGGGAGCUGAUAAUCGAGCUGUGAGCCGAGGAUUUCCGAAUGGGGAAACCCCGCCAGGCGCUUUUGUGACCUGGUGACUCCCGCCUGAAUAUAUAGGGCGGGUAGAGGGAACGUGGGGAAGUGAAACAUCUCAGUACCCACAGGAAGAGAAAACAACAUGUGAUUCCGUGAGUAGUGGCGAGCGAAAGCGGAUGAGGCUAAACCGAUCAUGUGUGAUAGCCGGCGGGCGUUGCAUGGUCGGGGUUGUGGGACACGUCGCUCAGUUCUGCCGGACUGGGGCGGUUACAGCGCAUCAUAGUCGAACCGGUUUGAAAGCCGGGCCGUAGUGGGUGCCAGCCCCGUAGACGAAAUGGUGUUAUGGCCGGAUGUGUAUCCCAAGUAGCACGGGGCCCGAGAAAUCCCGUGUGAAUCUGUCAGGACCACCUGAUAAGCCUAAAUACUCCCAGAUGACCGAUAGCGGACAAGUACCGUGAGGGAAAGGUGAAAAGUACCCCGGGAGGGGAGUGAAAUAGUACCUGAAACCGUUUGCUUACAAACCGUCGGAGCACCCUUGUUGGUGUGACGGCGUGCCUUUUGAAGAAUGAGCCUGCGAGUUAGUGAUAUGUGGCGAGGUUAACCCGUGUGGGGCAGCCGUAGCGAAAGCGAGUCUGAAUAGGGCGAUUGAGUCGCAUGUCCUAGACCCGAAGCGAAGUGAUCUAUCCAUGGCCAGGUUGAAGCGACGGUAAGACGUCGUGGAGGACCGAACCCACUUCAGUUGAAAAUGGAGGGGAUGAGCUGUGGAUAGGGGUGAAAGGCCAAUCAAACUUCGUGAUAGCUGGUUCUCUCCGAAAUGCAUUUAGGUGCAGCGUUGCGUGUUUCUCGCCGGAGGUAGAGCUACUGGAUGGCCGAUGGGCCUCAACAGGUUACUGACGUCAGCCAAACUCCGAAUGCCGGUGAGUGAGAGCGCAGCAGUGAGACGGUGGGGGAUAAGCUUCAUCGUCGAGAGGGAAACAACCCAGACUACCAACUAAGGUCCCUAAGCGUGUGCUAAGUGGGAAAGGAUGUGGAGUUGCACAGACAACCAGGAGGUUGGCUUAGAAGCAGCCACCCUUGAAAGAGUGCGUAAUAGCUCACUGGUCAAGUGAUUCCGCGCCGACAAUGUAACGGGGCUCAAGCACACCACCGAAGUUGUAGAUUUCGCACACUAGACAAGCCUUCGUGGUUCAGUCGUGCGGAGUGGUAGGAGAGCGUCGUGUGGCGAGUGAAGCGGCGGAGUGAUCCAGCCGUGGACGC
rnacentral:rRNA from 1 species